AAGCUCGUAGUUGAAUUUCGGGAUUGACACAUCGGUCGUGCCUUAAGGGGUAUGAACUGGUGUAGUCAGCUUCUCACCUUCUGGAGAACCGCGAUGUCCUUAAUUGGGUGCCGCGAGGAACCAGGACCUUUACUUUGAAAAAAUUAGAGUGUUUAAAGCAGGCAUUUUGCUUGAAUACAUUAGCAUGGAAUAAUAAAAUAGGACGGAUGGUUCUAUUUUGUUGGUUUCUAGGAUCACCGUAAUGAUUAAUAGGGAUAGUUGG
rnacentral:rRNA from 1 species